UACGUAGGGGGCGAGCGUUGUCCGGAUUCAUUGGGCGUAAAGAGCUCGUAGGCGGCUUGGCAAGUCGGAUGUGAAAACUCCAGGCUCAACCUGGAGCCGCCAUUCGAUACUGCUAUGGCUAGAGUCCGGUAGGGGAGUGUGGAAUUCCCGGUGUAGCGGUGAAAUGCGCAGAUAUCGGGAGGAACACCGAUGGCGAAGGCAGCACUCUGGGACGUGACUGACGCUGAGACGCGAAAGCGUGGGGAGCAAACAGG
rnacentral:rRNA from 1 species